GUCAAGGGUAAGAUAUAAUUUACUAGUAUUUUUAAUUAUAAAAUGUUCAAGUUUAUUAUACAAAAAGAAUUAGAUUGCACUGUACAAAAUACUACUUGAAAAAAAAUUUUCUGUUUUCACCGAAAUUUAAUUCAAAACUUUCAAUAGAAAUAAUAGAAAUUUUCUGAAUUCAAUAUUUUUUUUGUAUUUUACAUUUAAAUUUCUUGUUAUACAAAAAAUUCUUUUAUUUUGUUAAAUCAACAACAAUGACUUCUGCUGCAGACAACAUUUUUCCGUAUAUAAUGGAAACAUUAAGCAAAAAGCCUUUUUUUGGUAAUUUUCUUACAAAUUUCCACCAAAAUCAAAUGUUAAAUUCUUGCAUUUAUAUUUUCUUUAUUUCAGAGGAUAGCGAAUCAAAUAUUUUGAAAGAUCUUAAAGACAGAUUAACAAAAGAAGGAUUCAAAUAUAAUAAUAAUUUGAAAAAUGAUUUUGAACAAGCUCUCGAACUUGGUCAAGAAAUUGGUUUAUUUCGGAUUAUUAAUAGAAAACUACGUUUGCCUUUUUCGCUAGAUAAGACAAAUGAGGAAUCAACUACGAGUCGGAGUAAAUCAGUUCCAACGAAAAAUUCGAAAAAAAAUAAAUUGGAGACAACUGAUAAAGAAGGGAGGUCUCGUCGACGACGUAGCAGCAGUCGUCGUGGAAGACAAAGUCGAAGCCGAAGUGGGGCACGUUCUCGCAGUCAAAGAAGAACUACCAGACGACGAUCGCGAAGAUGAGCAAAAUACAAAAUUUGUUUCGUACUUUUUUGUAUAUGCCUUUCUUGAAAUAUAUUUUGACAUACAAAUUUAAA